ACUAGCAGAGACAUCCCAGGUGCCAUACCCACAGGUCACUGUUCAGUUCUUGUAUCCCUGGACUUCCCUGGGUGCAUCUGACUGGGCUGACCUCAUUCUUCUUUAGCAUUCCUUCUUCCUGUAUUGCCUCACAAUCAACUCUCCCGGUUCUGCGGGGGUCUCUCCAGCAACUCCUUUCCUCUUCUCAUCAGCAUCUCCUUCCCCACUUUUUCCCUCCUCAGCCACAUCCAAUCCAUCAGUUCACAGGUAUUUGGUUGAGAACAGCUGCACCAAAAGAGCCUCAUCUGUACCUGGACCUGACAUGAAUGAGCUCCUGAACUCAAGCUAACAUAGCAAUAGAGCAAGACUUGUGGGAGUCUUGGGUGUGGGCAAGUGCAGUGUGCACGUGUGUGAGUGGCCAGAGUGUGCCCUGUAGUAAAUUGCUGUUCUGGUGAUCACCUCCAAUGAACCACCCUUGUAGGUAUCCACUCCUUGUGGAGUUCUUUCCCACAUGGACUCUGGGCUGGGCCGAUUACUGCUUGAACCAUCAGACAAUGACAAAAAUGAUGCAGUGCCAGUUGUAGGCCUAGCCCUUAACUGCUUGGGCAGCAUCCUCUUCUUCCAUUUGGAACCCAGAUACCACAAGGCAACCUAAGCCGCCACUGGGUCCCAGCUGAUCUCCCCAACCAAGACUCGGAGGACCACAGCCAUCCCAGCAUCCAGAUGAUACCGCAAAAAAACAGAACCUCCUGGACAACUCAAUUCCCCCCAAGUUUAUGAGACAAUAUGGCUCAAGAGACAGCUACUAUAGAAACAAGUUAUAUGUAUCUACCCAGUUCCUCAACCCACGGGUUCACAGCACUACAAGGAGACCUCUCGGAGAGCCAACAGCAGGAACAGUAGGGUUAUGAGGAGCAAGUGAGGUCACACACACCAAGUUAUGAGCAAGGCAGCAGCAGUCAACACUGCUGCCCUACUCCUCCAGCAGUGAGAAGGCAGUCGGUUUCACUCGCGCCUGGAUUUCCAAAGCUGUCUAAGUGGAUUUGCUAACUGAUGGGAGCUAACACAAGAACUGAUCCAAGAACUACAACAAGAGGUGCCACAAGAUUUAAAGGGUAUGUGCAAGCCCUUUGCGGCGCGUGUCAACUUUUGGUCUCACUACAGUGCGCUUCUGCAUGUCCCCUCGCUUCAUAAAGUCUGUGGACGAAGGUCUGGAUUUUGCUGAGAAUAACUCUGAAGCUGCUGUGGAUUGUCCUUGCCCUAUCUCCCCCCGUGUCAGUAAGGAAGCCUUACCUACCACAUGGAUGUGAAUAUGUGACAUUCAGACGAGGAAGCCAUUAUCAACAUAUACAAUAACUAAGAUGACAUUUCACCAUACAUUAUAAAUGCUGGUAAAGAUUUUUAAAAAAGAAAUCAAAGUUUGAAUAUUUUCUCCUAACACCUGGAUUGUCUUACAUAUCCCCAAGUAUACACACACUUUACACCCCACUUGGCCUUAAACUUUUAAUACAGCCUCCUCCAGUCUAUGUUCUGCAUGGCCUCAAACUGUUACCUUUCUAAAUUAUAAGUCUGAUCAUGUUACCCACUCCCUUCUUAGAUAUCCUCCAUGGCACAACAACUCCUUACAGGGUAAAUCCAAACCCUUUAGCCUUGCAUACAAAGUCUAUGAUAUGGAGAAGGAUAUUGAUGAGGGAGCAUAAGGCACGCUGAGGACAAAGUUCAAGUUAGCAUGCCCCUCCCAGGAGUGUGCUAUGUGUGAUAUUCCUUGGACACUUC